UACGUAGGGGGCUAGCGUUGUCCGGAAUCAUUGGGCGUAAAGCGCGUGUAGGCGGUCCGGUAAGUCCGCUGUGAAAGUCGGGGGCUCAACCCUCGAAUGCCGGUGGAUACUGUCGGGCUAGAGUGCGAAAGAGGCGAGUGGAAUUCCUGGUGUAGCGGUGAAAUGCGCAGAUAUCAGGAGGAACACCAAUUGCGAAGGCAGCUCGCUGGGACGUUACUGACGCUGAGACGCGAAAGCGUGGGGAGCAAACAGG
rnacentral:rRNA from 1 species